rnacentral:siRNA from 1 species
GCCAUGUUAUCUAAGUUUCUAAC